AAACCAACAGGGAUUGCCUCAGUAACGGCGAGUGAAGCGGCAAAAGCUCAAAUUUGAAAUCCUUCGGGAGUUGUAAUUUGUAGGUUGGGAGACCCCGCGGCUAGUGGCACCAAGUCCCUUGGAACAGGGCGCCUUAGAGGGUGAGAGCCCCGUAGGUACCACAACACCGUCUUGUGUCUCCUCUCCAAAGAGUCGAGUUGUUUGGGAAUGCAGCUCAAAGUGGGUGGUAAAUUCCAUCUAAAGCUAAAUACCGGCGAGAGACCGAUAGCGAACAAGUACAGUGAUGGAAAGAUGAAAAGCACUUUGAAAAGAGAGUGAAACAGUACGUGAAAUUGUUGAAAGGGAAGGGCUUGCAAGCAGACACGGCCUUCGUGCCGGGCCAGCAUCGGUUGCUAGGGGUGGAUAAGGAACAAGGAAUGUAGCUCCUCGGAGUAUUAUAGCCUUGCGCGAUACACCCACUGGCGACCGAGGCCUGCGGUAUUCCUACCUAGGAUGCUGGCGUAAUGGUUGCAAGCCGCCCGUCUUGAAACACGGACCAC
rnacentral:rRNA from 1 species